ensembl:lncRNA
CCUGCAUCAGAGCGCACAGCUUCCCCGCCCCUCCUGCCUCCUCAUCGGCGGCGCUAGCCACCCCGCCCACUCGGCACCAGGCAGGGCUGUAUUAGAACUGUGGGCAGGUCGGCCUCAGAGGCCCCAGGUGGGGCCAAGAAUGGGGAGAAAAUUCUGGGUGGAGUCUGAGCCUCGCCUCGGUCCGCUGGAUGGGAGUUCGGAAGCUCUGGGUAAUUCAGUUCCGGAGGAGGAGGCGAAAUAAGUCAGCGUGUCCCAGACAGUCCCUGGGGAAGACCUCGCCUCAGUUUGAUGGGUGCGUGAAAAGCGCUUCCUGCCAGGCACCGAGGAGACGCCCAAGACCGACCAGAUGGGCGCCUGUAAUUGUAGCCAAAUAAGGGCAGAGCAUCCGGUCCCAUCGCUCCCCAUCACUUCAUGGCAAAUAGACGGGGGAAAAGUGGAAACAGUGACAGAUUUUACUUUCUUGGGCUCCAAAAUCACUGUGGAUGGUGACUGCAACCACAAAAUUAAAAGACACUUGCUCCUUGUAAGAAAAGCUAUGACAAACCUAGACAGCGUAUUUAAUGCAGAGACAUCACUUUGUUGACAAAAAUCCGUGUAGUCAAAGCUAUUGUUUUUCCAGUAGUCAUGUAUGGAUGUGAGAAUUGGACAAUAAAGAAGGCUGAAUGCUGAAAAAUUGAUGCUUUCGAACUGUGGUGCUGGAGAAGACUCUUGAGGGUAACUUGGACAGCAAGGAAAUCCAACCAGCCAGUCCUAAAGGAAAUUAACCCUGAAUAUUCAUUGGAAGGACUCAUGCUGAAGCUGAAACUCCAAUACUUAGGCCACCUGAUUAGAAGAGCCAACUCAGUGGAAAAGACCCUGAUGCUGGGAAAGAUUGAGGGAAGGAGGAGAAGAGGGCGAUGGAGGAUGAGAUGGUUGGAUGGCAUCACUGACUCAAUGAGCAUGGGUUUGAGCAAACUCCGUAAGACAGUGGAGGGACAGAGGAACCUGGCGUGCUACAGUGCAUGGGAUUGCAAAGAGUCAGACCCGACUUAGGGACUGAACAUCAACAACAGUUGUAGCAUGAGCUGCCCUGGAAUUCUGUCGCCUACGUGGAAGGAGGCUGGCUGGUAGUGGAGGAAUCAGUGAGCCCGGAGGGGCCUGACUUUAGUCAGGGUUUGGUAGGCUGGACAGUCACUCAUUCAUUCAACAGUCAUCUUAUUGGACACCUAAUGUGUGACAAGAUGGUGAUACCUGUUGAGGAAAAACAUAAUGAGUGGAGUGUAUGGAAAAGGGAAGUCUUGCAACUUGAGUUUUAUAAAGUCUCACUGAGAGGGAGACAUUGGAUCUCAGACUUCCAGUUUCUGCAGGACACCAGAAGCUUGCUGUCCUCAGGGCCUUUGCACAGACUUGAAUGCUUUUUCUCCACAUAUUUACAGGGCCUUCCCCCCACCUCCUUCUGUGGAUUUCAAUUGUCAGGUGUUUCCUGAUCAGCUUCUCUUCCCCUCCUUCUCACCACUUCCUCCUCCUCUUUCUCCUCCCCCUCCUCCCUUCUUCUUCUUUAUAAACUGAGAUAUAAUUGACAUGGGCUUCCCAGGUGGUGAAGUGGUGAAGAAUCUGCCCGCCAUUGCUGGAGACACAGGAGACAGGGAUUUGAUCCCUGGCUUGGGAAGCUCACCUAUAGAAGGAAAUGGCAACCCACUCCAGUAUUCUUGCCUGGGAUAAUCCCAUGGACAGAGGAGCCUGGUGUAUCGUCUUUCCUGUCUCAACUGAUGGUUCCAUGUAGAAAGGAGCUUCUCCAUCUUUUUCACCCAGGGCUUGGUGCUCUGUGGGAACUCAAAUGCAGGGGCUGUUGUCAUUGUUACUUCUAUGCAUGAAUUCAAACUGGGGGGAAAUACAAGUGUGUGUGUGUGUGUGUGUGUGUGUG